UGGGGAAUAUUGCACAAUGGGCGCAAGCCUGAUGCAGCCAUGCCGCGUGUGUGAAGAAGGCCUUCGGGUUGUAAAGCACUUUCAGCGGGGAGGAAGGCGAUAAGGUUAAUAACCUUGUCGAUUGACGUUACCCGCAGAAGAAGCACCGGCUAACUCCGUGCCAGCAGCCGCGGUAAUACGGAGGGUGCAAGCGUUAAUCGGCAUUACUGUGCGUAAAGCGCACGCAGGCGGUCUGUUAAGUCGGAUGUGAAAUCCCCGGGCACAACCUGGGAACUGCAUUCGAAAGUGCAAGGCUGAAGUAGUGUAGAGGGGGGUAGAAUUCCAGGGGUAGCGGUGAAAUGCGAAGAGAUCUGGAGGAAUACCGGUGGCGAAGGCGGCCCCCUGGACAAAGACUGACGAUCAGGUGUGAAAGCGUGGGGAGCAAACAGGA
rnacentral:rRNA from 1 species